CAAAAAAGGUCGCAUGUACUGAAAGUGUCAAAAUAAAAAUAAAUGCACAUAAGACUCUUUGUGGUCAGCCUAUAAAUUUGAAUGUUAGCUUAAUUUUAAGUUAUUUUUGUACUUAAGUGUAUGGAAUACCAUGUGAGGUGCUGCGUAUCGGUUGAGUAUUUUAUGUGCUCGUUCCAAAUGUAAUGAAGGUAUAUGCUAAUCUAUACGAUUCCACUCCGUCUUCGUGUUGGCCUACAAACAGACCACUGGAUACUAGAUGUAGAUUCCAUCAGAUAAUCCCGAUUUAUGGAACGAGAAUGUCUAGUGAACUUCGAAAAGCUUUUGUUCCCUGCUUGCUUAUCAGAUGGACAUAGACAAUGUUCCGAAAUUCUUUGAAUUGGAUACUCUCGUCGUCAUGGACAUUUGAUGACAUCAUGGGUAUAGUAUCCGAGGCCGCCGAAUCGGCCAUGACAAUUAC